ACAGAAUGCGAAAUGCUUUCAAGCAAUAAAACCCGUUAUCUGUGCAGAAACCCAUCUGUGCUAAGGAGAAUUCCGCAGGGAUUAUUGUCCCCUGGAGACAGGAGAAGCCAUUUGGUGGGCUAAAGCAUCAAGACAAGACCUUGGCUGAUUAUAAGUCACAUUAGACAAUUACAUUCUUAGCUCCUGGGAGUAAUGAUGGCUGGAUUUGCUCUGAUUUCUUCUUGUUGCAAAAUAAUGCCUGUUUAGGAUAUUUUGGCCUUCUGUGUAAUAAACCUGUGUAUUGGAUUGAGUCGAAAUAUUUGGCACAUUAAAAAUUACUUUCAGUCAAGGUUUUUUAAAAGCCCCAUUUUUCUGUCCACAUUCUCCUUCAUUCCAGAGACCCUAAAUGUACUCUAUGUGGAGACUGAUUAGUCAUCCCGGGUGUAGGACCAGCUCUGGGGCAAACAAUUAGGGUUUUCAUUUUACUCUUUCAUACCCACCAUGUUGUGAGUGGGGAAGAAAAGCAGGACUGAGGGAUGUUAUGGCUCAGGCUAGCUAUGUGUGCCCUCUUUAUCUCUGACCUUGGGAAGCCCACACACUGCAAAGAGGCCAGCAGGGAUCUGGGGACAGGCAGACUUGGAUUCUGAUCUCUGCCCUGCCUCUUCCUAAACCUGUGACCUUGGGCAAGUUGCUCAACCUCUCUGAGGACUGAUCUGUUUCUCUGUAAAACAGGGCAACUAAUUGAAUUCUUAGGGGAUUAAACGAGGCAAUGGAUACAAAAGCAUUGUGACUGUUCAGGAAAUGUUAACAUGUGGCUGGUAGUUGACAACUUCACUGUUGAGGAGUUCCCAGUCCCCAGCCACAGAGACAAGAUUAGCAGAGAUUAUCUCUCAUGGGGCAGAGGAGAAUAUGGGGGGAAAUAUGGGCUUUGGGGUCACCCAGACCUAACUUGUGCUCUCCUAUCUCUUUGUCCUGAGCCGUUACAAUAGCUCUCAGUGCCUCUCUUUUCUUAUCUGCAAAAUGGGCUUAUCAUAAUACAUGCCUGGCAAAAUGUGUUAAGAUAGCUCAUGCCUGAGAGCCAGGUUUAUAUUAAGACUUUAUUGGAUGGCGACAAAACUGGUGCCCAGCAAGGGGGCCUGCCAGAUAAUUCAUCAGGGUCCCAGGCAUUAUCCAUGGACAGAAUAUAUUCUCUCACACGCACUUGUCUGCAUGGUUUUGAAAUGUAAACAGAGGCUAUUGCAAUAAAUGAAAUAAAUUCUUGCCAAGACACUAGUGAAUUCAUUUCCUCUCAGCCAAUGGAUUCUAAGAGGCCGAAAAGGAGAAGUGAAAAUUUUGUUUUAGCACUACAUAAGGCUUCUCGUACUUGCAGCCAAAGAGGUCAGAGAUUUGGUCCCAAGACCAACUUAGAGUCAUGUGUGACACUGGGAUUCAGAGGCUAGUUGUGGGCCACAGGGAGGAAGCUGACCCCUGGGCUCACCCAGCCCACCCACUCACCAGCUCUCCUUUCCUUCCUGGGUCCCUUGGGGAGGAGAAGCCAUCCACCUCAUGGAAAGUGCUUUAGAGGCUCCUCUGUGGGUGCCCUACUCUGCACCCUUUGCGGGGACUCUCUGCUUCAGUUCGCAGGACAACCUUAAUAGCUAACUGCAGAGAGGACUGAAUGGUUAAGUAGCUCCUCCAAGGAAGCAGAGCCAAGUAUCAGAGGCCGGUUUCCAUCCAGGGAUUGAGAGAAGAAUCAGGAGCACAUAGGCUGUGGCAGUAAAAAGCAGAUCCCAAAGACAGUAUAGGGCGGCUCGAAAGGGGCCUUCCUACAUAGCCACCACCACGUGCUCCGGCGCUACCUCCAGGGGGCUGGGCGCAGCUGGAGGACACAGUUCGGCAGCUUGCUAGAAGCCUCCAGCUCUUCCUUUUCUUUGGCUUCCUCAGGCAAAACUGGGCCAGAAAUUCUGGGCCGUUGGCCAGAGUCAGACCUUCGUCCUCUGGUAGCGUCCGCUGGAAAAGAGGAGGCGAGAGUCACCAGGAGGCUGGCCCCACUCGCAGGCCCUGCCCUCUGCCGGUGGGUCCUAUGGAUGACACGAGGCCGCACUGGGCUGGAGAAGAAGAGAAGCUCCUGAGACACGCCCACUCUGCAGAGGGAGGCAACCGCACAGGUAAUCCAUCCUCUCUAGGCUUUUCUGUUCCCGUGCAGUAAGUGAAGUGAAGCAAGGUGAAGAAGUGAAGUGAGCAUUCAGGACAUGAAUUGGCACGUGGUCGGUGCUAGAGGAGCUGGCAAGGUAGACUCUGGUCUCUUCUGUGGUGCUGAAGCUGGGGAAAUAAGGAACAAUCUCAUCCACAGGCCAGGCCUCCGGCGUGCUCGGGAGCUACUGACGGAAACUCCUAGGGAACUUCCCUUGUGGAAAGAACGUAAGCUCCGCCCACUCGGGCAGCUGAGGCCAUUGAUUCGUUCACUCAUUCGCUGGACUAUUUCUCCAGCCCAUGAUCUUAUUUUAUAACAAGUACAACAUUCAUUCAUUUUUACACAUAAUUACCUCACUUAUUCCAUGGAAGAACCCUGCAAGUUUGAUGGUUG
rnacentral:lncRNA from 1 species